AAAUUGAAGAGUUUGAUCAUGGCUCAGAUUGAACGCUGGCGGCAGGCCUAACACAUGCAAGUCGAACGGUAACAGGAAACAGCUUGCUGUUUCGCUGACGAGUGGCGGACGGGUGAGUAAUGUCUGGGAAACUGCCUGAUGGAGGGGGAUAACUACUGGAAACGGUAGCUAAUACCGCAUAACGUCGCAAGACCAAAGAGGGGGACCUUCGGGCCUCUUGCCAUCGGAUGUGCCCAGAUGGGAUUAGCUUGUUGGUGGGGUAACGGCUCACCAAGGCGACGAUCCCUAGCUGGUCUGAGAGGAUGACCAGCCACACUGGAACUGAGACACGGUCCAGACUCCUACGGGAGGCAGCAGUGGGGAAUAUUGCACAAUGGGCGCAAGCCUGAUGCAGCCAUGCCGCGUGUAUGAAGAAGGCCUUCGGGUUGUAAAGUACUUUCAGCGGGGAGGAAGGGAGUAAAGUUAAUACCUUUGCUCAUUGACGUUACCCGCAGAAGAAGCACCGGCUAACUCCGUGCCAGCAGCCGCGGUAAUACGGAGGGUGCAAGCGUUAAUCGGAAUUACUGGGCGUAAAGCGCACGCAGGCGGUUUGUUAAGUCAGAUGUGAAAUCCCCGGGCUCAACCUGGGAACUGCAUCUGAUACUGGCAAGCUUGAGUCUCGUAGAGGGGGGUAGAAUUCCAGGUGUAGCGGUGAAAUGCGUAGAGAUCUGGAGGAAUACCGGUGGCGAAGGCGGCCCCCUGGACGAAGACUGACGCUCAGGUGCGAAAGCGUGGGGAGCAAACAGGAUUAGAUACCCUGGUAGUCCACGCCGUAAACGAUGUCGACUUGGAGGUUGUGCCCUUGAGGCGUGGCUUCCGGAGCUAACGCGUUAAGUCGACCGCCUGGGGAGUACGGCCGCAAGGUUAAAACUCAAAUGAAUUGACGGGGGCCCGCACAAGCGGUGGAGCAUGUGGUUUAAUUCGAUGCAACGCGAAGAACCUUACCUGGUCUUGACAUCCACAGAACUUUCCAGAGAUGGAUUGGUGCCUUCGGGAACUGUGAGACAGGUGCUGCAUGGCUGUCGUCAGCUCGUGUUGUGAAAUGUUGGGUUAAGUCCCGCAACGAGCGCAACCCUUAUCCUUUGUUGCCAGCGGUCCGGCCGGGAACUCAAAGGAGACUGCCAGUGAUAAACUGGAGGAAGGUGGGGAUGACGUCAAGUCAUCAUGGCCCUUACGACCAGGGCUACACACGUGCUACAAUGGCGCAUACAAAGAGAAGCGACCUCGCGAGAGCAAGCGGACCUCAUAAAGUGCGUCGUAGUCCGGAUUGGAGUCUGCAACUCGACUCCAUGAAGUCGGAAUCGCUAGUAAUCGUGGAUCAGAAUGCCACGGUGAAUACGUUCCCGGGCCUUGUACACACCGCCCGUCACACCAUGGGAGUGGGUUGCAAAAGAAGUAGGUAGCUUAACCUUCGGGAGGGCGCUUACCACUUUGUGAUUCAUGACUGGGGUGAAGUCGUAACAAGGUAACCGUAGGGGAACCUGCGGUUGGAUCACCUCCUUACCUUAAAGAA
rnacentral:rRNA from 1 species